rnacentral:rRNA from 1 species
AGAGUUUGAUCCUGGCUCAGAUUGAACGCUGGCGGCAUGCCUUACACAUGCAAGUCGAACGGCAGCACGGGAGCAAUCCUGGUGGCGAGUGGCGAACGGGUGAGUAAUAUAUCGGAACGUGCCCAAUCGUGGGGGAUAACGCAGCGAAAGCUGUGCUAAUACCGCAUACGAUCUACGGAUGAAAGCGGGGGACUCAGCAAUGGGCCUCGCGCGAAUGGAGCGGCCGAUAUCAGAUUAGCUAGUUGGUGGGGUAAAGGCUCACCAAGGCGACGAUCUGUAGCUGGUCUGAGAGGACGACCAGCCACACUGGAACUGAGACACGGUCCAGACUCCUACGGGAGGCAGCAGUGGGGAAUUUUGGACAAUGGGCGCAAGCCUGAUCCAGCAAUGCCGCGUGCAGGAUGAAGGCCUUCGGGUUGUAAACUGCUUUUGUACGGAACGAAAAGACUCCUUCUAAUAAAGGGGGUUCAUGACGGUACCGUAAGAAUAAGCACCGGCUAACUACGUGCCAGCAGCCGCGGUAAUA